CCUACGGGGGGCAGCAGUGAGGAAUAUUGGGCAAUGGCCGGAAGGCUGAACCAGCCAAGCCGCGUGAAGGACGAAGGUGCCAAGCAUUGUAAACUUCUUUUGUCAAGGGACAAAAUCAGGCUCGAGAGCCUGACCGAGGGUACUUGAAGAAAAAGCAUCGGCUAACUCCGUGCCAGCAGCCGCGGUAAUACGGAGGAUGCGAGCGUUAUCGGGAUUUAUGGGGUUGAAAGGGGGGGGAGGGGGACUGUUAAGGCGGGGGUAAAAGCCCGGGGCUCAAACCCGGCGAGCCGUUGAAACUGGCUGUCUUGAGAUGUCGAGAGGUAUGCGGAAUGCGCAGUGUAGCGGUGAAAUGCUUAGAUAUUGCGAGGAACUCCGAUUGCGAAGGCAGCAUACCGGCGGCGAUCUGACGCUGAGGCACGAAAGCGUGGGUAUCGAACAGGAUUAGAUACCCUAGUAGUC
rnacentral:rRNA from 1 species